AUUGAACGCUGGCGGCAGGCCUAACACAUGCAAGUCGAACGGUAACAGGAAGAAGCUUGCUUCUUUGCUGACGAGUGGCGGACGGGUGAGUAAUGUCUGGGAAACUGCCUGAUGGAGGGGGAUAACUACUGGAAACGGUAGCUAAUACCGCAUAAUGUCGCAAGACCAAAGAGGGGGACCUUCGGGCCUCUUGCCAUCGGAUGUGCCCAGAUGGGAUUAGCUAGUAGGUGGGGUAACGACUCACCUAGGCGACGAUCCCUAGCUGGUCUGAGAGGAUGACCAGCCACACUGGAACUGAGACACGGUCCAGACUCCUACGGGAGGCAGCAGUGGGGAAUAUUGCACAAUGGGCGCAAGCCUGAUGCAGCUAUGCCGCGUGUAUGAAGAAGGCCUUCGGGUUGUAAAGUACUUUCAGCGGGGAGGAAGGGAGUAAAGUUAAUACCUUUGCUCAUUGACGUUACCCGCAGAAGAAGCACCGGCUAACUCCGUG
rnacentral:rRNA from 1 species